ACUUGCAAGCUAACAUUGGCUACAUUAGAUUACGUAGCUACACGCCCAGGAUCGUAGAUAGCUAGUAACUAAUGACUAACUAACAGCACCGUAGAGGCUAACGUGACUAUGUGUUCGAUCCCAUCAAUAUCUGCAGCGGCAUCAACAUCAAGCUCAGCCCAGGAACUAGUGUAAGUUACCUUUGCUAAACAUUUCAUGAUAGAUAACAUGAUGAGUAAUAAAAAUAUGUGAGCUGGCUUAUUAUACGUGGUCCGUGUCUUGUUGUCAUCGCUGACGUUUACAAGUAGGCUACAACUUCUACUGUCGUUUUGUCUGUGUAGUGGAGGGCUUAUGUGAUUGUUCAUACAAGGCUGAAGUCUACAUUGGAGAAAAAUAAGGUAUUAGUAAGGAGUGUGUGUGUGUGUUUGUGUGUUGUGUGGUGUGUGUGUGUGUGUGUGUGUGUGUGUUGUGUGUGUGUUGUUGUGUGUGUUGUGAGAGGUGAGAAGGUUAAUUAUUGACGUGAGGGGGGGGUGGGGUGGAUAUAGUACCUUGUUUUCGUGUGUAUUGAUGGGGGAACACAUUUGUCAAAAUGUUGGCUAAUCACUAAUACUGAGUGUCCUACAUAUGCUUUGGCAUGGGGGAGAGAGGGUUUUUAGUUUACUCUUCCACCAUAGUACUGUAUUGUUGGGCGUGCUUGUCUCCCCAACAACACAACUGUAGGCACUCAUAUACAACAAUACACAACUGGACUGUCUACAAGUCAAGCCCCCAUCAAACGUUUCACAUCUUUGCUAACAGUCCAUCUCAAUGCCCCAUUAUUGACUCUAACAGAACACAUACUGUACCCGUCUACUGUAUCCUAUCCAACAAAAUGUUCACUUGCAGGUUCCUUAAUGCAACAAUAAUGAGAUAUUGUAAAAAAUAAUAAUAAUAAGAAUACAAACAUAAAGUAAAUGGCAGUAGAAUAUAAACAUUUUACCAUAAGUAUUAUACAGGAAGGCACAAUGUAUAGUACAAUAUUUACAUGUGUAUUGGAGAAGGGGGGGGUGUGAGGGACAAGGCUAUAAGUUGAGCAGUAUAAUAACAGUUUGGUAGCAGUAGUUGUGAUGUGUGCUAAGGUGCAGAGAAUCAAAGCAGGUGGUCAGUCAAGUUCAAGUGUUCAGCAGUCUUGUAGAUACCAACAGGCUCAGAMAAUUUCUAUUAGACCUCAUUCUCCGAUACCACCUGCCUGACGGUAAGGGAGAGAACAGCUUGUGUCUMGUGUGUGUGGGGUCCUUGAUAAUGRUGCGAGACUUCCUCAAGCACCGUUUCGAGUAGAUGUCCUGGAUGGGUGGAAGCAUGGUCCCAGUGAUGUAUUGGGCCGUCUUCACCAUCCGCUGGAGGGCCUUGCUGUCGUGGACGGAGCAAUUCCCGUACCAGGCCGUGAUGUAACCGGUGCUCUCGAUGGUGCAGCGGUAGUAUUUAGAGAAGACCCGGGGCGGCAUGCCAAAUUUCUUCUGCCAUUUACAUAUUAACAUGGUUUCUUGUAUGGUUACACAUCCUCAUGAUCAGUCUUUGUUUUACACAUCCUCAUCAGUAUUCAUGUCUUUCCAGGAGACMUGCAGUACAAACACAUCUUCUGUAAGAGGUCGACGCAGUGGGUGGUGAAGAAAGUGUAUGGCCCAGAACCCACCACUUCAGGGAGAGGCUUGUCCACCUGUCUGUGGAGUGCAAAACAACUUAGAAUGUUGUCUACAAGGAGCCAGAGACACAGCUCCCCAAACCCAACAUCCCUGCCAACAUCGCCACAGCGUCAAAGUCUGCAACACCAGCUUCCAUUACCCAACAAGACGAGGUUCACCAGCUGAAGAACACUCUGGAACCUGCCUGGAGCAUUCAGCCAACACAACAUCCAUAUUCAAUUAGACUGAUGUUGUAGUAUAAUAUAGAAUGCCUAGUAUGCUCAAAACUGCAUUGUGGUAUAGAUAUUGCUAGCUCUUGUACAUGAACUCAGGGGGAAAAAAAGAAACGUCCCUUUUUCAGGACCCUGUCUUUCAAAAAUCAAAAGAACUUCACAGAUCUUCAUUGUAAAGGGUUUAAACACUGUUUUGCAUGUUUGUUCAAUGAACCAUGAUGAAUUAAUGAACAUGCACCUGUGGAACGGUCGCUAAGACACUAACAGCUAACAGGUGGUAGGCAAUUAAGGUCAUAGUUAUGAAAACUUAGGACACUAAAGAGGCCUUUCUACUGACUC
rnacentral:lncRNA from 1 species